AAUUUUCACCUCUAGUUACAUACUUAAGGUUCUGGAUCCGGGUUCGAGCCGGGUCUGGACCCGGAUAUGUUUGGGAUUGAAAGGAAUGAAAAUCAAAGGGAGUGAGUGGGAUUUGAUUUGAUCCGGUGAUUGAGAAACCCAGUUUUCUUGUCUUCGUAGUUUUGUUGGUUUAAUGGCGAAAUCGGCGUCGAAUUCACUGGUGCAGACUCUGAAGCGCUACAUAAAGAAGCCAUGGGAGAUCACGGGUCCCUGCGCCGACCCUGAGUACAGAUCCGCUGUGCCCUUGGCCACCGAAUACCGCCUGCAGUGCCCAGCAACCACCAAGGAGAAACCCUGCAUCCCCAACUCCCUCCCCGAGACCGUCUACGAUAUCAAAUACUUCUCGCGCGACCAGCGCCGCAACCGCCCUCCCAUCCGCCGCACCGUUUUGAAGAAGGCUGAUGUCGAGAAGCUCGCCAAGGAGCAGACCUUCGCUGUCUCUGACUUUCCCCCCGUUUAUCUCAACUCCGCCGUCGAGGAGGACAUCAAUACUAUCGGCGGCGGAUACCAGGGAUGACUCUCAGGUCACUUUUCCCCGCUUCCGUUAAUUAGGGGUUUUCGUGUUAUUGUGUUUGGAUUCGCGUGAUUAGCCUCAGAAGCUAAUAUUGGAUUCAUCACUUCCAAAUGUUUGGGAAGCUUUAUGGUUGAGUCAAAAACCAGGGAAUUUUUGUUGUUUUAAUGAUCUCUCUGGUGUUUGGAUUAUGGAGUUAUUUAACUCAAUUUCAAUUUUCAACCUUUUCUUCCUUCUUAUGUUUCAAUUUAUUUUUUAGAAGGUCUAACGAAGCUGGUUAUUUUUUGUUUCGUUGUGCUUUCACUUAAACUUUAUGUAGCCAGAAGUACAAAUGAAAUAAGAGGUUAAAUAGAUUAGGCUGGUUGGAUUCUGUGUAAAACUUUGUUGAAUUUAUGAAAUGGAUUGUAAAUAGGAUUUUGCCAAUGCUAGUCUUAUACACUCAAAUGAUAAGUUUUAUUAGCGACAUAACCCAGUUAGGAAAGCAAGUAUUAGAUGAUACGUGGAAUUCUUGUAGAAAUAUCUGCUACGCUUUUUGAAGCAAGAUCUCUGUCAAUCCGUCUCCUUUUUGUCCGUCUUAUUUUGCUGUCUUUCCUUACUGCUGGUACUAUUCCUUGGUGGUUGGGGUUGGAGCAGGAUGACCCGAGCCAUCUCUUCAAGCCUCAGAGAUGGUAUAUACCCCAAAAGCCAUUAUCUAUGAUGAAGGAAACACCAUUGACGAUGGAAGGCAUAUUCUUCCCCACUUUCCUUUUAAUGCUGUGACAAAGUCUACCAACUCUUCUAUUCUUCAUUGGUUCGUCAGGUAUGCAGGUAUAACAGUAGAAAGCCAAUGAAUUAUCUUCUAUGAGAAUCUACAAAUGGCUAGAUCCUUGGAUUGCCUGAUUCUGCUUAUGCCCACGAGGAAGUUGGUGCUAUCUUCAAGUUCAGUCUUUCAUUCCUCGAUCAGAAUACAAAGGAGUUGAAACACCCUUCAUUCUUUGAAGAAUGAUGCCGGGUUUUACUACUUUUUCUUGCAUCUUCCAUCAUUGGCUGCUAAUGCCUCUUCUGGUGAAAGCCUUGCUUUUCCAGCAGCUCAAAAUUUUCAGGCAGCUCCUUAACUUCUGUUUGUGCUCUUAAUGAGGACAUUAUUGGCCCAGUCAACUUUCUGUUUUUUUGUCAAUGGAAAAAAGAUCCUAUUAGUCUUUUAGCACCGGCCUGUGCGGCCGUCCAUUUUAAGGAGGCGUGUAAACAUUUGAUAUCAAUAAAGUGUAGCUGGCUGGGGUUAAGUUUAACUAUUUGUUUACUUUGUGAAUGUGGGAUAAAAAAGUAAAUUGAUUCAAUGACUUGAUAAUGGGUAAAUUGAAUACUUGCCCUCGAAA